AAUAUCCCUUAAUGGUUUUUACUUUGCACAGAAGAGCAAUCAAGGUCUUGCCUGCAGACACCGCAGAAACUAUAUGUGCCUCUACAUAAAGCUGAUGCUCAGAAAGGACUGAAAAUAAUUGCUGGACGCAGAAAUACAACUAACAGAGAAAAGUACUUCUUAGUACACACUGGGGGAGAUAAGUGUCUCUUGGUGUGAAGGUAAUACUCUUUGGGGUGUUACAGGAUGAAUAAUAGCCAAAGUCAACACUUUCAAUAGAGAAGAAUGUGCCUUUUAGCAGCGGAAGAAACAAGAUCUUCAUUUGCUGACUAGUGAUAUAUGACAGACAGAAGCUGUCUAAGGUCUUAACCGGUUUGCCUGGCUUCAAACUCCAAUUUCCUCCCAUAUGCUAUAGAAGUGACCACAAAAGUACAUAGUAAUAGCCACAUUUUUUAUCUAGGGCCUACCACAUGACAAAUUCUAUUCUAUAUUAUCCCUAAUCCUCACAAAGACACUGUAAAGUUGUUACUUCUGAUCUUCUGCCUAGUAGUUGAGGAAACUAAUGAUAAAAUGUCUGGAACUCCCAUGUUUAAGUUAAUUGCCUCUAAAUCCCUUCAUUUUACCAAUGUUUGUCUUAUUUCACUCUAAAUUCAUUUUACCCUUUUCAGCUUUGCUAUGGUAGUCUGAAAUGAUCCCAGUUCCCCUCUUUUCUAUAUCCAUGGUCCUUUGGAUUGUGGCUUCCCAAACAACAUAUAGAGUCUUUUUCUCCCUUUUUAUGUCUGGGAUUGGCUAUGUGACUUACUUUGGCCAAUGAGACAUAACAAACAUGAUACAAGCAGAGUCUUGAAAAAUAUUUGAUCUUUGGGACUUGUCUGCCUAUUGUUGGGAAUCCUGUCAUAAUGAGAAUGAGCCUGUGCUAGACUGCUUGGUGAUGACAGCCAUACGGCCUUCAUCCCAGAUGACAUUAAGGUGACUAUCAAGCAUGUGACUGAGUUCCUUCCCCUAUAAAACCAACCAACUUGCUAGCUCCUAAACAUCUAACUUCAGCCAAGUUAGCACACACACAACUCAAGUAAGUGUGAGAACUAUAAUAAAUGUUUCCUGUUUUAAACUAC